rnacentral:rRNA from 1 species
GCGGCUUAUUUGACUCAACACGGGAAAACUCACCAGGUCCGAACACUGUAAGGAUGGACAGAUUGACAGCUCUUUCUUGAUUCAGUGGGUGGUGGUGCAUGGCCGUUCUUAGUUCGUGGAGCGAUUUGUCUGCUUGAUUGCGAUAACGAACGAGAUUUCCAGUCUUUGUUCUGCGGUGGCCUUCACUAGCGGCUUCGGCUGCUGGCUGCGGGCUAUCGUAGACUAAGGCUACAGACAGCAUUAAAGCUGUACGAGAGGGAGCAAUAACAGGUCUGUGAUGCCCUUAGAUGUUCUGGGCUGCACGCGCUCUACACUGAAGUGGGUAACGGGCGAAUGAGAGCCAACGCGGGGUAACUCGUUAGUAACUCUUCCCUACUCCGAAGGGAGUGGGUAAACCCUUAAUCCAUUUCGUGUUAGGGAUCACGCAUUGCAAUUAUUGCCUGUGAACGAGGAAUCCCUUGUAAGUGUGAGUCACUAGCUCGCGUUGAAUACGUCCCUGCCCUUUGUACACACCGCCCGUCGCUACUACCGAUUGGGUAGUUUAGUGAGGACUUUGGAGGUUUAGGGGGAGUCGGGCAACCGAUGACGCCUUAACUGAAAUUGCCCGAACUAGGCUAUCUAGAGGAAGUAAAAGUCGUAACAAGGUCUCCGUAGGUGAACCUGCGGAGGGAUCAUUACCAAUCGCCCUUAAAGCGAAGGUUUUUUGAGUACUUUGUACUCAGGCAGUAGAGUAUUCCGCUUCGGCGAUGACUCGGCAGCCUUAAGUCAGUAGAGUAUUCCGCUUCGGCGUAGAGCUCGGCAGACGAAAAUGGAUAACGCGUAGAUCUCGCUGUAACAGGCGUUAUUACCGUGACUCCAGGUGCCUCGAAGCACAAGUAGUGGUUGACAGCGGCCUUCGGGCUCUGUGAGCGCGACUAGAUGGGUCUUCGGACUCGGACCUUUGAGUGUCGUGGAAGAGUACAAAGCUACCUGAGGCCGGCCGUGUCGGUUCGAUGAAGGCUGUCUUUUGCUCGACUGCGCUCUCGUUUUACCAACCUUUGUCUAAAUAAACUAAGUACAACUGUUAGCCGUGGAUCACUCGGCUGGUGGAUCGAUGAAGAACGUAGCUAAGUACGUUAACCGGGUUGAUGUGCAUAAUAGCGCUGAUGCCUUGGUCUUUGAACGCACAUUGCGGGCAAGGAAUAACUUCCUUGCCCUUAUCUGUGUGAGGGUUGAUUUGUCAAUUAACAAUGUUUAAGGCGUGAUCAUAGCAAUAUGAGACGCUGUUUGUCGCAACUUUUGAUGCGGAAUGGUCUUUGACUUAGCGAAGCCCGAGCGUGACAGCCGGGUUGCGGUCUUGGAUUGAGAAGUGUCUCCUUAACUUGCGUUAGCCCUUGCGCUGCCGGUUUUACCGGCUAAACAGCGGGGUGCAGUUACUGGUCGUACACGGUUCUCCUCAGCUGCGUAGCCCUAGCGAAGUCGGUUUUACCGGCUAAGCAGAGCUGCAGUUGUGUUUCUCGCUUCGCUUGCCUUGACUGGCUAUGCUCUCGCGUUAAGCAGGGCCUGUCGUCUUGGCUAUGAGUGGCCGUCUUUGCGUGCUAAGCCCGUGCGUAUGCUGGGUGCCGCUUAGACGUGUUUCUCGCCGUUGCUACCCAACUAUGAAAUUACUUACAACCUCACAUCAGGUAAGAUAACCCGCUGAACUUAA